rnacentral:rRNA from 1 species
GAUAUCGGGAUAACAACCUGGAAACAGAUGCUAAUACCGGAUAACAACAGAUGAUGCCUAUCAACUGUUUAAAAGAUGGUUCUGCUAUCACUCUUGGAUGGACCUGCGGUGCAUUAGCUAGUUGGUAGGGUAACGGCCUACCAAGGCGAUGAUGCAUAGCCGAGUUGAGAGACUGAUCGGCCACAUUGGGACUGAGACACGGCCCAAACUCCUACGGGAGGCAGCAGGG